AGAGAUAAGGGACAACUAUUUUAGAAACUAAAAGACAAUUGAUCCCUCAUGUGGCUGGCAAUGUGUCCAUGCUCACAGAGCAGGCAUCAGAUGGGCACUCUUUUCUCAGUGCACUCCUGUUAGCAGGAUUGGAGAGCCAGCGCCCUCCACACUGUGCAGACAAGUGACACCAUGCAGUGAAGCACCUGAUUGCAUGGACAGGCUGUUAAGUGGUAGAGGAGUAGAAGAUUAAUGAAAGACUGCAAGGUAAUUACAGAUGGCUCUGGAAGAAGGUUCAAUCCAGUGCAGGAGCAGCUGUGGUUACCGGCACAAGACCUGCACAAACAAAAAGAUGUGAUAAGAAGAGAACCUGUUAGGAGAAUAAAAGGGGUCAGCAGAAGUGGAAGGGAAGAGAAUGAAAUGGACAGAAGUUAGUCAACCUGUUACUCAUACUGAGCAAUGACAGCAACUUGCUCUUGAUCUCCAGAAGACAUUUCUCUCUUUUUUUUUUUUAAUGUAUAAUCGGAAUGAAUGGCAAAGCAAAUGGCUUAAAGUUCUUUCAACCAUCUUGGACAGAGCUAAGUGCUGUGAUGACUAAUCUUGGUUGUGGACUUGACUGGAUCUGGAAUCAACUAAAAUGCAAGUCUCUGGGCAAUCAUAUGAGGAACUUUCUUGAUCAGAUUCUUCGAGGCUAGAAGACCAAACCAAAAUAUGGGUGGCACCUUCUGGUGGUAGCCCAUGUAAAAGGACUUGGCAGAAAGAAACUCUUUUUUGGUCUUUUUGAGACAGGGUCUCCUAGUAGCCCCAGCUGACCUGGAACUCACUGUGUAGACCAGG